GCAAAACGCGAAGAACCUUACCUGGUCUUGACAUAGUAAGAACUUUCCAGAGAUGGAUUGGUGCCUUCGGGAACUUACAUACAGGUGCUGCAUGGCUGUCGUCAGCUCGGUGUCGUGAGAUGUUGGGUUAAGUCCCGCAACGAGCGCGAACCCUUUUCCUUAUUUGCCAUCGGGUUAAGCCGGGAACUUUAAGGAUACUGCCAGUGACAAACUGGAGGAAGGCGGGGACGACGGUCAAGUCAUCAUGGCCCUUACGACCAGGGCUACACACGUGCUACAAUGGUCGGUACAAGGGUUGCUACCUAGCGAUAGGAUGCUAAUCUCAAAAAGCCGAUCGUAGUCCGGAUUGGAGUCUGCAACUCGACUCCAUGAAGUCGGAAUCGCUAGUAAUCGCGGAUCA
rnacentral:rRNA from 1 species